rnacentral:lncRNA from 1 species
UACCGACAGGAGGAUCAGACAAAGCUAAUUGAGAAGUGUGACCCAGUAGCUGAGAACCACCAGCAGCUCCUACUUUCUUUGCUUUCUCCUAGCUGCUUCAGAUAAUCUUAUUGUCACGGACUAGGUUUACUCAUGGAAGAGGAAGAAGCAGAGGCAGACUGCUCCACCAUUCCACUGCUCUGGGGCAUGCUGGCAACCCCAGCUUUCUCAACAGAUAAACUGGAACUGCCAACCCCAUGGUGGGGUAGAGAAGCAGUCCCUUGGGAAGAAGUGUUAUUGUUAUCCAUGCGACAAGAAUAUACUGGAAGAAAUACAAAGGGUCACCACCUGAUUAUUCUCCAAUACAGGUGGAAAGCUGACUACAACAAAGUUUCU